UCGCUGGAGGACUAACGCUUAGGCCAAAGCGCUCUUACUGCCGUGGCCGGGGUUCGAUUCCCGGCCAGGGAA